rnacentral:piRNA from 1 species
UGCAAUUGGUUAGCCUGUGAUGCUUAUACAG